CAAUGAGACAGCUCCACAAGAGACCAAAUGACACAGAAAUUAACAACAUUAAGUAAACAACAUCCUUCAACAACGAGCAAAGCCCAUACCGCAAAAUCAGCUGUUAGUUUCAGUGGAUAUUGUCAGAGUGAAUGGAAUUUGACAUAAAGGAUUUGGUGAAUCAAGACAGGGUUUUACCUCCACUCCCCAUCCUCUCUUCCCCAACCAAAAUGAUUUCAUAACAACUUUAAGCUUCAAAUUUAAAAAAAAACGCAAAAAAAAUAAAAAAUGGUAAGAAACUAGACACAUUUCAUGAAAAGAAGAACAAACCUGAUUUGAUUAAGUUUUAUAUACAGUUGUUUCAUGGGUGUGCGCAUCCACAUACUCAAAAG
rnacentral:lncRNA from 1 species